AGAAUCAACGCUGGCGGCGUGCCUAACACAUGCAAGUCGAACGCGAAAGUCCCGCAAGGGAUAAGUAGAGUGGCAAACGGGUGAGUAACACGUGGGUGACCUGCCUUCGAGUGGGGGAUAACGUCCCGAAAGGGACGCUAAUACCGCAUGACAUCCUGCUUUUUAAGAGGUGGAGAUCAAAGCCGGGGAUCGCAAGACCUGGCACUUGAAGAGGGGCCCGCGCCUGAUUAGCUAGUUGGCGAGGUAAUGGCUCACCAAGGCGACGAUCAGUA
rnacentral:rRNA from 1 species